GACGAACGCUGGCGGCGUGCUUAACACAUGCAAGUCGAACGGAAAGGCCCUGCUUUUGUGGGGUGCUCGAGUGGCGAACGGGUGAGUAACACGUGAGUAACCUGCCCUUGACUUUGGGAUAACUUCAGGAAACUGGGGCUAAUACCGGAUAGGAGCUCCUGCUGCAUGGUGGGGGUUGGAAAGUUUCGGCGGUUGGGGAUGGACUCGCGGCUUAUCAGCUUGUUGGUGGGGUAGUGGCUUACCAAGGCUUUGACGGGUAGCCGGCCUGAGAGGGUGACCGGCCACAUGGGGACGGAGAUACGGCCCAGACUCCUACGGGAGGCAGCGGUGGGGAAUAUGGCACAAGGGGCGGAGGCCUGAGGCAGCAACGCCGCGUGCGGGAUGACGGCCUUCGGGUUGUAAACCGCUUUCGCCGGUGACGAAGCGUGAGUGACGGUAAUGGUUAAGGAAGCACCGGCUAACUAGGU
rnacentral:rRNA from 1 species